rnacentral:rRNA from 1 species
UCCAGACUCCUACGGGAGGCAGCAGUGGGGAAUAUUGCACAAUGGGGGAAACCCUGAUGCAGCGACGCCGCGUGAGCGAAGAAGUAUUUCGGUAUGUAAAGCUCUAUCAGCAGGGAAGAAAAAAAUGACGGUACCUGAGUAAGAAGCACCGGCUAAAUACGUGCCAGCAGCCGCGGUAAUACGUAUGGUGCAAGCGUUAUCCGGAUUUACUGGGUGUAAAGGGAGCGUAGGCGGCGCGUUAAGUCUGAUGUGAAAACCCGAGGCUCAACCACGGGAGUGCAUUGGAAACUGGCGGGCUGGAGUGCCGGAGAGGUAAGCGGAAUUCCUAGUGUAGCGGUGAAAUGCGUAGAUAUUAGGAGGAACACCAGUGGCGAAGGCGGCUUACUGGACGGCAACUGACGCUGAGGCUCGAAAGCGUGGGGAGCAAACAGGAUUAGAUACCCGAGUAC